UACGAAGGGGGCUAGCGUUGCUCGGAAUCACUGGGCGUAAAGGGUGCGCAGGCGGGUCUUUAAGUCAGGGGUGAAAUCCUGGAGCUCAACUCCAGAACUGCCUUCGAUACUGCGGGUCUCGAGUCCGGGAGAGGUGAGUGGAAUUCCUAGUGUAGAGGUGAAAUUCGUAGAUAUUAGGAAGGAACACCAGUGGGCCGAAA
rnacentral:rRNA from 1 species